rnacentral:rRNA from 1 species
UACCUUUAAUGUUGCCUCGGCGGAUCAGCCCGCGCCCCGUAAAACGGGACGGCCCGCCAGAGGACCCAAACUCUAAUGUUUCUUAUUGUAACUUCUGAGUAAAACAAACAAAUAAAUCAAAACUUUCAACAACGGAUCUCUUGGUUCUGGCAUCGAUGAAGAACGCAGCAAAAUGCGAUAAGUAAUGUGAAUUGCAGAAUUCAGUGAAUCAUCGAAUCUUUGAACGCACAUUGCGCCCGCUGGUAUUCCGGCGGGCAUGCCUGUUCGAGCGUCAUUUCAACCCUCAAGCCCCCGGGUUUGGUGUUGGGGAUCGGCUCUGCCCUUCUGGGCGGUGCCGCCCCCGAAAUACAUUGGCGGUCUCGCUGCAGCCUCCAUUGCGUAGUAGCUAACACCUCGCAACUGGAACGCGGCGCGGCCAUGCCGUAAAACCCCAACUUCUGAAUGUUGACCUCGGAUCAGGUAGGAAUACCCGCUGAACUUAAGCAUAUCAAUAA